rnacentral:misc_RNA from 1 species
ACAAACUUGGUCAUUUAGAGGAAGUAAAAGUCGUAACAAGGUUUCCGUAGGUGAACCUGCGGAAGGAUCAUUACAGAGUUAGGGUCUUCACUGGCCCGACCUCCCAACCCUUUGUUUAAUUGACCAUCGUUGCUUCGGCGGGCCCGUCCUUCACCGGACCGCUGGGGGACCGUUAGACGUCCCCUGGCCCGUUGUCCGCCGACGGCCAACAUCAAAAACUCUUUGUUAAACAUGCCUCUGUCUGAACAAGUUUUAUGCAAAAAUAAAAAACAAAACUUUCAACAACGGAUCUCUUGGUUCUGGCAUCGAUGAAGAACGCAGC